rnacentral:misc_RNA from 1 species
UCUCCGUUGGUGAACCAGCGGAGGGAUCAUUACUGAGUUUACAACUCCCAAAUCCAAAGUGAACGCUACCAAACUGUUGCCUCGGCGGAGUGACGCGCCGGGCGCGUCGCAGCCCCGGAACCAGGCGCCCGCCGGAGGAACCAACCAUAAUCUUUCUGUAGCCCCCUCGAGGACGUUAUUUCUUACAGCACUGAGCAUAAAUUCAAAAUGAAUAAAAGCUUUCAACAACGGAUCUCUUGGUUCUG